rnacentral:rRNA from 1 species
GAUGAACGCUGGCGGCGUGCCUAAUACAUGCAAGUCGAGCGAACGGACGAGAAGCUUGCUUUUCUGAUGUUAGCGGCGGACGGGUGAGUAACACGUGGAUAACCUACCUAUAAGACUGGGAUAACUUCGGGAAACCGGAGCUAAUACCGGAUAAUAUUUUGAACCGCAUGGUUCAAAAGCGAAAGACGGUCUUGCUGUCACUUAUAGAUGGAUCCGCGCUGCAUUAGCUAGUUGGUAAGGUAACGGCUUACCAAGGCAACGAUGCAUAGCCGACCUGAGAGGGGGAUCGGCCACACUGGAACUGAGACACGGUCCAGACUCCUACGGGAGGCAGCAGUAGGGAAUCUUCCGCAAUGGGCGAAAGCCUGACGGAGCAACGCCGCGUGAGUGAUGAAGGUCUUCGGAUCGUAAAACUCUGUUAUUAGGGAAGAACAUAUGUGUAAGUAACUGUGCACAUCUUGACGGUACCUAAUCAGAAAACCACGGCUAACUACGU